GUUUUAGCUCAGUUGGUAGAGCACUUCCUUGGUAAGGAAGAGGUCGCUGGUUCGAAUCCAGUAA
rnacentral:tRNA from 1 species